GAACCUGAAACCGUGUACGUACAAGCAGUGGGAGCCUCUUUUAUGGGGUGACUGCGUACCUUUUGUAUAAUGGGUCAGCGACUUAUAUUCUGUAGCAAGGUUAACCGAAUAGGGGAGCCGAAGGGAAACCGAGUCUUAACUGGGCGUUAAGUUGCAGGGUAUAGACCCGAAACCCGGUGAUCUAGCCAUGGGCAGGUUGAAGGUUGGGUAACACUAACUGGAGGACCGAACCGACUAAUGUUGAAAAAUUAGCGGAUGACUUGUGGCUGGGGGUGAAAGGCCAAUCAAACCGGGAGAUAGCUGGUUCUCCCCGAAAGCUAUUUAGGUAGCGCCUCGUGAAUUCAUCUCCGGGGGUAGAGCACUGUUUCGGCAAGGGGGUCAUCCCGACUUACCAACCCGAUGCAAACUGCGAAUACCGGAGAAUGUUAUCACGGGAGACACACGGCGGGUGCUAACGUCCGUCGUGAAGAGGGAAACAACCCAGACCGCCAGCUAAGGUCCCAAAGUCAUGGUUAAGUGGGAAACGAUGUGGGAAGGCCCAGACAGCCAGGAUGUUGGCUUAGAAGCAGCCAUCAUUUAAAGAAAGCGUAAUAGCUCACUGGUCGAGUCGGCCUGCGCGGAAGAUGUAACGGGGCUAAACCAUGCACCGAAGCUGCGGCAGCGACGCUUAUGCGUUGUUGGGUAGGGGAGCGUUCUGUAAGCCUGCGAAGGUGUGCUGUGAGGCAUGCUGGAGGUAUCAGAAGUGCGAAUGCUGACAUAAGUAACGAUAAAGCGGGUGAAAAGCCCGCUCGCCGGAAGACCAAGGGUUCCUGUCCAACGUUAAUCGGGGCAGGGUGAGUCGACCCCUAAGGCGAGGCCGAAAGGCGUAGUCGAUGGGAAACAGGUUAAUAUUCCUGUACUUGGUGUUACUGCGAAGGGGGGACGGAGAAGGCUAUGUUGGCCGGGCGACGGUUGUCCCGGUUUAAGCGUGUAGGCUGGUUUUCCAGGCAAAUCCGGAAAAUCAAGGCUGAGGCGUGAUGACGAGGCACUACGGUGCUGAAGCAACAAAUGCCCUGCUUCCAGGAAAAGCCUCUAAGCAUCAGGUAACAUCAAAUCGUACCCCAAACCGACACAGGUGGUCAGGUAGAGAAUACCAAGGCGCUUGAGAGAACUCGGGUGAAGGAACUAGGCAAAAUGGUGCCGUAACUUCGGGAGAAGGCACGCUGAUAUGUAGGUGAAGCGACUUGCUCGUGGAGCUGAAAUCAGUCGAAGAUACCAGCUGGCUGCAACUGUUUAUUAAAAACACAGCACUGUGCAAACACGAAAGUGGACGUAUACGGUGUGACGCCUGCCCGGUGCCGGAAGGUUAAUUGAUGGGGUUAGCGGUAACGCGAAGCUCUUGAUCGAAGCCCCGGUAAACGGCGGCCGUAACUAUAACGGUCCUAAGGUAGCGAAAUUCCUUGUCGGGUAAGUUCCGACCUGCACGAAUGGCGUAAUGAUGGCCAGGCUGUCUCCACCCGAGACUCAGUGAAAUUGAACUCGCUGUGAAGAUGCAGUGUACCCGCGGCAAGACGGAAAGACCCCGUGAACCUUUACUAUAGCUUGACACUGAACAUUGAGCCUUGAUGUGUAGGAUAGGUGGGAGGCUUUGAAGUGUGG
rnacentral:rRNA from 1 species